CGGGGGGCAGCAGUGAGGAAUAUUGGACAAUGGGCGCAAGCCUGAUCCAGCCAUGCCGCGUGCAGGAAGACGGUCCUAUGGAUUGUAAACUGCUUUUAUACAGGAAGAAACACUCCCUCGUGAGGGAGCUUGACGGUACUGUAGGAAUAAGGAUCGGCUAACUCCGUGCCAGCAGCCGCGGUAAUACGGAGGAUCCAAGCGUUAUCCGGAAUCAUUGGGUUUAAAGGGUCCGUAGGCGGUUUAAUAAGUCAGUGGUGAAAUCUGGUCGCUCAACGAUCAAACGGCCAUUGAUACUGUUAGACUUGAAUUAUUAGGAAGUAACUAGAAUAUGUAGUGUAGCGGUGAAAUGCUUAGAUAUUACAUGGAAUACCAAUUGCGAAGGCAGGUUACUACUAAUGGAUUGACGCUGAUGGACGAAAGCGUGGGGAGCGAACAGGAUUAGAUACCCGCGU
rnacentral:rRNA from 1 species